UUUCCUAUGGAUUCAAAUUUUUAGUCCGGUUCUAAUUCUGAUCGUAAAUCAAAUGCUUCGGAGGAUUUAAUCAUUCCGAUUCUCAUUCCAAUUUAUUUCGAUUUUCAUUCCGAUUUCGAUUCCGAUAGUGAAACAAGCACUCCCUUACUCUCUUUGUAACAUAAUGAUUAACUCCUCUAUUAGAUAAUCUCAAAGAGUGGUUAUAACAUUAUGAUUAACUUCUUUAUAGGCAAUUCCGCCAAGU
rnacentral:lncRNA from 1 species